rnacentral:rRNA from 1 species
UUAACCGUAUAGGGGAGCCGUAGGGAAACCGAGUCUUAAUUGGGCGUUAAGUUGCAGGGUAUAGACCCGAAACCCGGUGAUCUAGCCAUGGGCAGGUUGAAGGUUGGGUAACACUAACUGGAGGACCGAACCGACUAAUGUUGAAAAAUUAGCGGAUGACCUGUGGCUGGGGGUGAAAGGCCAAUCAAACCGGGAGAUAGCUGGUUCUCCCCGAAAGCUAUUUAGGUAGCGCCUCGUGAAUUCAUCUCCGGGGGUAGAGCACUGUUUCGGCUAGGGGGCCAUCCCGGCUUACCAACCCGAUGCAAACUGCGAAUACCGGAGAAUGUUAUCACGGGAGACACACGGCGGGUGCUAACGUCCGUCGUGAAGAGGGAAACAACCCAGACCGCCAGCUAAGGUCCCAAAGUCAUGGUUAAGUGGGAAACGAUGUGGGAAGGCCCAGACAGCCAGGAUGUUGGCUUAGAAGCAGCCAUCAUUUAAAGAAAGCGUAAUAGCUCACUGGUCGAGUCGGCCUGCGCGGAAGAUGUAACGGGGCUAAACCAUG